CAGCCGCCACGGUAAUACGAAGGGUGCAAGCGUUACUCGGAAUUACUGGGCGUAAAGCGUGCGUAGGUGGUGGUUUAAGUCCGUUGUGAAAGCCCUGGGCUCAACCUGGGAAUUGCAGUGGAUACUGGGUCACUAGAGUGUGGUAGAGGAUAGUGGAAUUUCCGGUGUAGCAGUGAAAUGCGUAGAGAUCGGAAGGAACAUCUGUGGCGAAGGCGACUAUCUGGGCCAACACUGACACUGAGGCACGAAAGCGUGGGGGGCAAACAGGAUUAGAUACCCCUGUAGUCCCUGUCUCUUAUAC
rnacentral:rRNA from 1 species